UCUGACGUCCCACUUCUCUCACACACACCUUAGAAAUGCAAGAUGGCAGGGAAGCAAAAUCCAGAAGUACAUAUAAAAAGGAUCUGACUCAUCUAUGAAAUCAACACGAAGCGGAACACUCGAGUCAUGUUUAGCAGGACUAACCCAAGUAGACGAGAGGGGUGUUCCCUUUCCCACAGUGCAUGAUGGGUAAUGAGGAAGAACAGCUAUUCUGAAUACUCUUGCUCUCUGACGUGCACACACAUUGUAACAGCAAAGGAAACACCUUGGAAAUCUU